rnacentral:rRNA from 1 species
AUUGAACGCUGGCGGCAUGCCUUACACAUGCAAGUCGAACGGUAACGGGCCUUCGGGCGCCGACGAGUGGCGAACGGGUGAGUAAUGCAUCGGAACGUACCUUUCAGUGGGGGAUAACGUAGCGAAAGUUACGCUAAUACCGCAUAUUCUGUGAGCAGGAAGCAGGGGAUCGCAAGAACUUGCGCUGAUUGAGCGGCCGAUGUCAGAUUAGCUAGUUGGUGAGGUAAAGGCUCACCAAGGCGACGAUCUGUAGCGGGUCUGAGAGGAUGAUCCGCCACACUGGAGCUGAGACACGGUGCAGCCUCCUACGGGAGGCAGCAGGGGGGAAGUGUGGACAAUGGGGGCAACCCUGAUCCAGCCAUGCCGCGUGAGUGAAGAAGGCCUUCGGGUUGUAAAGCUCUUUCGGCCGGGAAGAAAUCGUAUGGGCUAAUACCCUGUGCGGAUGACGGUACCGGCAUAAGAAGCACCGGCUAACUACGUGCCGGCCGCCGCCGUAAAAC